CCUACGGGUGGCAGCAGUCGAGAAUCAUUCACAAUGGGGGAAACCCUGAUGGUGCGACGCCGCGUGGGGGAAUGAAGCUCUUCGGAUUGUAAACCCCUGUCAUGUGGGAGCAAAUUAAAAAGAUAGUACCACAAGAGGAAUAGACGGCUAACUCUGUGCCAGUAGCCGCGGUCAUACAGAGGUCUCAAGCGUUGUUCGGAAUCACUGGGCGUAAAGCGUGCGUAGUCUGUUUCGUAAGUCGUGUGUGAAAGGCGCGGGCUCAACCGGCGGAGGGCACAUGAUACUGGGAGACUAGAGUAAAGGAGAGGGAACCGGAAUUCGCGGUGUAGCAGUGAAAUGCGUAGAUAUCGAGAAGAACACUCGUGGCGAAGGCAGGUUCCUGGACAUUAACUGACGCUGAGGCACGAAAGCCAGGGGAGCGAAAGGGAUUAGAUACCCUGGUAGUC
rnacentral:rRNA from 1 species